GACGAACGCUGGCGGCGUGCUUAACACAUGCAAGUCGAACGGGAUUUAGUAAACGGAAGCCUCGGUGGAAGAUUACUAAUGAGAGUGGCGAACGGGUGAGUAACGCGUGAGCAACCUGCCUAUGACAGUGGGAUAGCCUCGGGAAACCGGGAUUAAUACCGCAUAAAAUCGUAGAAACACAUGUUUCAACGGUCAAAGAUUUAUCGGUCAUAGACGGGCUCGCGUCUGAUUAGCUAGUUGGUGAGAUAACAGCCCACCAAGGCGACGAUCAGUAGCCGGUCUGAGAGGAUGAACGGCCACAUUGGAACUGAGACACGGUCCAAACUCCUACGGGAGGCAGCAGUGGGGAAUAUUGCACAAUGGGGGAAACACUGAUGCAGCGACGCCGCGUGAACGAAGAAGGUAUUCGUAUCGUAAAGUUCUGUCCUAUGGGAAGAUAAUGACAGUACCAUAGAAGAAAGCGCCGGCUAAAUACGUG
rnacentral:rRNA from 1 species